CAAGUGCAGAGACAUGGAGAAAUUACAGCUGUGGAAUUUGCACGAAUCACAUGAAACCAGCAUGAGAGUCAGCACCUCCAAGUCUGAGGUGCCUCUGUGUGGGAUGAGUAUUUUAGGAUCUUGCCUGUGUAGAUUCUCAGUAAUCCAGGCCAUGGUAAUCCCAGGAGCUUUCGUAGAAAGCAACUGGACUCCUCUUCAGUUUCUUCAAAGAACCUAAAAGAGCAUCCUUCCAGGAUCUUCAAGUUCCACAACCAGGCAGGCUUUGAGAAAAUUGCCCAGAAAAUUCAUUACUAUGGACUUCUCUCUUAGGUUCUUGAAAGAACCUAAAACCUACUGAAGCUCCUAGGAUUUGGGGAUGUUGUUCAAGAAAAUGGAGCGUGAAAUAGACAGACAGAUUGGUGAAGCAUCAGCAGUGAUGCAGCCGUUGUGCCAGGCUGUGGUGAAGAUGGAGCUGAACCGGGAGGCACAGCUCUCCAUUUACCCGUCGGUCGGUGUUCCUCUUCUUUCAAAACCUGAACAGCAAAUUAGCACGUUAGCAGUACUUUUCUAUUUAUGCCUCAGACAAACUAGAGCAGGGGUAGCCAACACGGUGCCCGCAGGCGCCUGGUUGCCUGCAGAGACCACGUGAGUGACACAUGUUCUAAAAAUAACACUAGUCACCAUGAAAUUCUUUAUAAAAAAAUAUAGUUGCUGUUCUUUUUGAAUCGAAAAUACUUAUAUUAAUGCAGAUUUUAAAUUACAAUAUUUAUUAUAUAUUUUUUUAAAAACAAAAAUGUCUUUGGUGUAAAUGAACUUUCACCUUGUCCGAGUCAGAGUUCACUGCGCAUGUCAAACCACCACGUCACUCUGCUGAAGCUUCCGGACGCAGCCACUUUGGGAAGCUAGAUGUGGUUUUUACCCCCAAAACAUGACAGAGAAGUGAAAGAGAAAACACUAUUUUCACGAUGACUGGGAGGAAGAGUUAUUUUUCACGACAGUGAAAGACAAAUGUAUGUGUCCUAUUUGCGGGGCGACUAUUGCGUCCGCCAAGCGGCACAAUGUGGAGAGACGCUACUUUAGCCACCACAAAGCUUCCAUGCUAACUAGCCAUGCUAACUAGCCACCUGGUAGCGCACAUAGACUGUUUGCGCACUAUGGACAGGAAAAUCCCGUUACUUAAAGGCAGCUUUGACAUCUACUACGCGGCGAAAAGUUUCUUCGUGGAGAAAAAUGUACCAUCAGAAAGGCUUGUUUUACUGACGACAGACGGGGCUCCUCCAUGACGGGUCGGCAUGCAGGCUUCAUUGUACUAUGCAGAGGUGAUCCAGACUUCCCAACAUCCCUACAUUACCACUGCAGCAUUCACCAGCAGGACAUAUGUAUGUACAAAAAUGACUGGAUUUGAUCAUGUGAUGACUCCUGUCGUGAAGAUCAUAAAUGGCUCCAAAGCCAAACAACCAGGACAUUGAAGGUGCUGCUGGAGGAGCUGUUAGCUGAACAUGGUGACCUGUUAUUACACACAGAAACCCCAUGGAUCAGCAGGGGACCAGUUUUGCAGCGUUUUUUGUCACUGUUGGCCGAAAUCAAAGAGUUGAUGCAAUCCAAAGGGGAAGACACCUCGCUGUUUGAGGACACUGAGUGGAUUCUUGUCCUUGCAUUUUUAACGGACAUCACUGAGAAACUGAACCAUCUGAACUGUGAGCUGCAAAGUAAAGAUGUUCAGAGGGAGAUGAUGUCACAUCUGGUCCAGCUGAUGGAAGGUCUUGAAGUUCUCUGCAUGGCCUCGACUGAAGAUGGUCGUCUCACUGGAUUUAAGGUUCAGAUGCUCAGUAAUAAACUCCACCAAUGAGCCAACAGGGAAGCUUUAGGUUUAUUAAAUGUUGCUAUGAAGGUUUUGCUGUGUUUCUUUGUGAAUGCGAUGUGCUCCAACUGAAACUUGAAUUAGAACUUAGAAGUAAAUCCUUCCAUCUGAAAGGAUUUAGUUGCAUUAAUAACCUCAUAACAUUCUAAUUUUUAUUCCAGUCUUGGUUGGAAAUAGAAUCUCUGUAUUGAUUCAGGUAAAAACUGAACUUCACAGCAUGUUGCAGCAAAACAACCAGAUGAAAACUGUGAUGGUGUUGGAUUGUCAGACCGUAAUGUUGCAGCUCAAAGCAGCUUUUCUAUCUCAGUUCAUUCUGACAUUCAGCUAUGAAUCAACACAGCAGAUGGUGAUCCAUGCUGUGGAAGUCUCACAUCUCCUGAUUUAAUGGAGCUGCUUUGCACUUUUUACACUGUUUAUUCACCAACACUUUAUUUAAUAAAAGUCCCAUCUAGUUUUUAUGAGGAAUGUGAUGUUUUAAUUUCUCUGUGAAUAACUGCAGUCUUAUGUAACAGCUGGAGUUGUAACAUCUGUCCUGAUAUUGAUCAUGAAGUAUUGAUCAGAAUAAUUAUGGUCAGCAGUCAUCCCUGAAGUUUUACAUUCAAAUCUUUACUUGUGUUGUGAACUUUGGUAAGAAGCAGAAACGUUAGCGUUGCCAUGGAUACAUGAGUGUUAAAUUCUGUCCAUGUUUCCAUUUUGGGAAAUUCAGUCCAGUUCCAGAAUGUGGAGGAAUUUAGUCUCACAAUCACAGACAACAAAUAUUAUCUGAAAGUCGGUUUAUUAUUGUUGUUUAUCAGCACAAUACAAAAAGAUUAAUGUUAGAAAUAUUCCAGUUAAGACUCUGGAAUAUCAUGAUUUAUGUAAAUUUACCUCAAUAAUAUGAAUGUUCAGGUUAAGAUUGUACAGUGAUAUUUAUUAUGCAAGUUUAGCUGAUUAAAGUUUAUGAUUCUGCACUAAAAUAUUAUUUAAAUUGACAUCAUUAUUAUAAUAUUUAGGGUCAGACCCUACAGUAUUGAGAUUAAGAAAUCAAAUAUUCUAUAAAAUGUAAAUACACU
ensembl:lncRNA